UAUGCCCCCCUUCGAAGAAGAGGGGGUAUAUUGCUUUGCACAUGUCGGUCGGUCGGUCGGUCUGUCGGUCGGUCCGUCCACCAGGUGGUUUCCGGAUGAUAACUCAAGAACGCUUGGGGCUAGGAUCAUGAAACUUCAUAGGUACAUUGAUCAUGACUUGCAGAUGACCCCUAUUGAUUUUGAGGUCACUAGGUCAAAGGUCAAGGUCACGGUGACCCGAAAUAGUAAAAUGGUCUCCGGAUGAUAACUCAAGAAUGCAUACGCCUAGGAUCAUGAAACUUCAUGGGUAGAUUGAUCAUGACUCGCAGAUGACCCCUAUUGAUUUUGAGGUCACUAGGUCUAAGGUCAAGGUCACGGUGACCCGAAAUAGUAAAAUGGUUUCCGGAUGAUAACUCAAGAACGCAUACGCCUAGGAUCAUGAAACUUCAUGGGUAGAUUGAUAAUGACUCGCAGAUGACCCUAUUGAUUUUUAGGUCAAAGGUCAAGGUCACGGUGACCCGAAAUAGUAAAAUGGUUUUCGGAUGAUAACUCAAGAACGCAUACGCCUAGGAUCAUGAAAUUUCAUAGGUAGAUUGAUCAUGACUCGCAGAUGACCCCUAUUGAUUUUGAGGUCACAAGGUCAAAGGUCAAGGUCACGGUGACCCAAAAUAGUAAAAUGAUUUUUGGAUGAUAACUCAAGAACGCUUUUGCCUAGGAUCAUGACACUUCAUAGGUACAUUGAUCGUGACUCGCAGAUGACCCCUAUUGAUUUUUAGGUCACUAGGUCAAAGGUCAAGGUCACAGUGACAAAAAUAGUAUUCACACAAUGGCUGCCACUACAACGGACAGCCCAUAUUUUUUCAUGACAUUUACAAGAUUUAGUUUGAUUGGAAAAAUGGAGUAUUUGUUUAUUAGUUAUACAUAUUCAUAUUGUUAACACAUUAAUUCCAAAAUCAUAUUUUAGUCCUUUUAUUAAUGCAAUAUAUUGUUAAUCAGUAUAUAUCAUUUUGCAAACGUAUUUGUAUCCAUUAUCAAACAAGAGACAUUGCAUAUUUAGUGGUAAUCUGAGAACAGCUAAGGCCACAUUAUGUGAAUGUUAUGCCCAGAUAUUAAGAUCCAGCAUGCCUUUUAUUGCAGUUGAAUGUACACUUUGUGUAAGGGCUUAUAAUUGAUGCAUGCCAAUUGCUGGAUCAGCAUUCUGUCGCGCCAGUGUCAGGUGAAUUGUAUAUUACAGUAUCAGUGAUUUUACGCAUGGCCUAGAAGUGAUGGCUGCUGUCUGAAGUUCCAGAGUUGUUUCCAUAUUUAUGCCCCCCUUCGAAGAAGAGGGGGUAUAUUGCUUUGCUCAUGUCGGUCGGUCGGUCGGUCGGUCCGUCCAGCAGGUGGUUGUCAGAUGAUAACUCAAUAACGCUUGGGCCUAGGAUCAUGAAACUUCAUAGGUACAUUGAUCAUGACUCGCAGAUGACCCCUAUUGAUUUUGAGGUCACUAGGUCAAAGGUCAAGGUCACAGGUGAAGGUCACAGUUACUGGAAAUAGGCAUUUUAAGGAUUUAGCAUGGAUCAAACAAGGGAAAAAACUACCGUUUAUGCAUGUUCUUUUUGUUACAGCAUUUGCCUCCCUUGUAAUAUAUUUAAAUUUUACCAAAUGUAAGGCUAACUGCUUUUUUGUAAUGCAUACUACUACUACUACUACUACUACUACUACUACUUCAACUACUACUUCUACCACACUACCACCACCACCACCACCACCACUGUUCACAGUGACAAAAAACGUAUUCACACAAUGGCUGCUACUACAACUUAUAGCCCAUAUAGUGGGGCAUGCAUGUUUUACAAACAGCCCUUGUUUACUUGUAUUUUGUAAUAAAUAAUACAACAAUAAAUUCAAAGUUCAAGUUUGAAGAAUUCAGUAAGUGCAUGUGUUUUGCAAUGUUGAUAUUGAGUUAUUAUCCCCGCCGAAGUUUUUUUCGGAGGGGAUAUAGUAAUUGGUCCUGUCCGUCCGGCUGGAUCUUUGUCCGGAGCAUAACUUCAAAUCUACUCAAUGGAUUUACUUUAAACUUAGAAUUAAAACAGAUGGCACCUAGGAGAAGUGCAGUGACCAAGAACCAUAACUCUCUCUACCUUAGUUUUUGAAUUAUCUCCCCUUUUAUAUAACUUUUAAGUAAAUUUUUGUCCGGAGCAUAACUCUAAUUAUACUAAAGGGAUUUACUUGAAACUUGAAAUAAAAAUAGAUGGCAACUAGGAGAAGUGCAGUGACCAAGAACCACAACUCUAUGUAUCUUAGUCUUUUUAAUUAUCUCCCCUUUUAUAUGAUUUUAAAGUAAAUUUUUGUCCUGAGCAUAACUCUAAAUCUACUGUAGGGAUCUACUUAAAACUUGAAAUAUAAACAGCUGGCAACUAGGAGAAGUGCAGUGACCAAGAACCAUAACUCUAUCUACCUUAGUUUUUUAAUUAUCUCCCCUUUUAUAUAAUUUUAAAGUAAAUUUUUGUCCGGAGCAUAACUCUAAAUCUACUGAAGGGAUUUACUUGAAACUUCAAACUUAAACAGAUGGCAAGUAGGAGAAGUGCAGUGACUAAGAACCAUAACUCUAUCUACCUUAGUGUUUGAAUUAUAUCCCUUUAUUUAAUUUCAAAGUAAAUUUUUGUCCGGAGCAUAAUGAAUUAUCUCCCUUUAUUUGUUUUUACAAAUAUUAUUCUACUCUCUAAAACAAAUGUUGUCAUACAAGCAUACAAACACAUUUCGGCGGGGAUUUGGCACUACUGACAGGCUUUUGUUGAAUUAAAGGUGAUACACUGUCUUUUCUUGAUUAUGUAUUUUAUUGAUAAAAAUGAAAUUGUCAAUGCUUAAAAACUUUUUAAGUAAGAUCAAUUAAUGGGUUAUAAAAGCAUUGAAGAAAAUCUCAUGGUAAUUUUACAGUAUUAUAUUGUAUGAUGAGGGACUUGCACUGUUCCAGAGACAAAAUUUAUUUGGGGUGGAUAUCAAUUCAAUGAAUUAGCUUGUUAAAUUUGCAUGCAUCUCUUAUAAACCUUGUUGUUAUGUUAUUAUGAAUUAUGUUUUUAGCCCGGUUUUAAAACUGUUAAUGAUACCGUGUUUUGUAUGUACCAAUUUAUUUUUGGUUUGUUAAAAUUAUAGAUUUUGAUAAGAAUGUUGUGAUAUUGUUUUAGACCUUAAAUGUUAUAUAUUGUAGGAAAAAAGUUUAUGGAUAUCCAUGUACAUUUAAUAUAGUUACAUCACAUUGUUAUAUCAUGACAUAAAUGAAUGAUUAAAUUGAUGAAUGACA